rnacentral:rRNA from 1 species
UGGUGGAGUGAUUUGUCUGGUUAAUUCCGAUAACGAACGAGACUAGAACUUACUUAAUAGAUAACCGAAUUCCAAAGGGGUGAAGGUCGUUCGAGUGGUGGGGUUUACUCUGCUGCUUGGGCGAUUGGAUCCCGGGUUAAUUUGGUCAAGCUUCUUAGAAGGACUACUGGUGGUAAAUCAGUGGAGGUUUCUAGCAAUAACA